UACAGAGGAGCCAAGCGUUGUCCGGAUUGACUGGGCGUAAAGCGCACGCAGGCGGACGCGCGCGUGGGGUGUGAAAUCUGGCCGCUUAACGGCCAGGCGCCAUCCCAUACGGCGCGUCUGGAGUGAUGCAGAGGUCGGUGGAAUUGCCGGUGUAGCGGUGGAAUGCGUAGAGAUCUCCAAGAACACCAGUUGCGAAGGCGGCUGACUGGACCCAUAUUGACGCUGAGGCUCGAAAGCAUGGGGAGCAAACAGG
rnacentral:rRNA from 1 species